CAACCCCUCUCUUUCUCUCUAUAAGCUUUUCUCUCUUAAAGCUUCCUCAGAGGUAAGUUCAAAACCCUUGUUCUCUUGAGUUUCAAUUACUUUCCUUACUCUGUUUUUUCAAAGAACGAAAUCUCUCUGAAAAACUGAUUAUUAAUUCUUGAAAACCUUUUUUUUAUUGGUUUUUUUUCCUGAAUAAAAGAUUUUUUUCGUAUACGUUGUUCUUUUUUUCAAGAUUUUCCUUGCUUUUAUUUUCAUGAGUUUUCUGGGCAUCCAAACAGAUGUUGUUUAGAUUUGAUUGCUUUUUCAUAUAUGUUGUUAUUUUUUUUUUCGAGAUUUUCCAUUCUCUUUCUUUUCAUGAGUUUUCUCAGCAUCCAAACAGAUGUUGUUAUAUGUUUCCUUUGUGAUAUCUCUAUUUUCUUUAGAUUCUCCGAGGGAAAAGACAUGCUUAUGUUACUCUGCUUCUUGAAAUGAUGAAACGACAUCUACGAUUAUUUCUCAUUGUAAUUAUGUUCUCGACAUUCAUCACUUUGCAAGCUUCGGCUAUCGCAUAUCCACGAGAUUGCAUCUCCACUUUUUGGUUCUUGAUUUUUUUGUCAUCUUUUGAUUUUUUUUUUCUUUUCAUUUUUAUUGUUGGGAGAUUGAUUCUUUAACUGUUAAAAAAAUAAUUUAACCAGUUUCAGCUUUUACGGAUCACAAAAAGGGUACUGGUUCUUGUACUCUUGAUUUUUUCCUCGUCAUUUUCUUUUAAAUUUCUCUAGAAAAUUGAGAUAAUUUGCACUACGUGGUGAUUACUAGUUAUUGUAAUGCUUCAUUCCAAUUGUUUGGUCUCCAAGAAAAUUUCUGGAAUCUUAGAAAGCGAAACCUCCACUUAAUUGGACCCAAUGGUUGGUUGAGUUUAGUUUUUUAUUUCUCUAAAACAAGAGUAGCAUAGAUAACAUGGUUCUGAAUUGAUUUUUUUUUUUCCACUCCAAGAGUAACAUAGAUAAUAUGGUUCUUAAUUGAAUUUUUUUCACUCUUUCUUUUCCUUAGUUUUCUUUGCCAGCAAAGAUCUUUAUGUUCUUUUCUUGAGGGGAAAUAACAGAAUGGUUUUCUCUCCAAAUGAGGUAACGCUGAGAUCUUCUAUGUAGCUGUGAAUGGGGCUUAUAUAAUAUUGUGGGCAAUCAUAGUGGGGUCUACCAAAAUGGAUGAAUGCCCAAAAGUGAUCGAGUGCUACAUUGGAUCAAAACUAAAACUUUUUUUCAAGAGUAACAUAGAUAAUAUGGUUCUUAAUUGAAUUUUUUUUCACUCUUUCUUUUCCUUAGUUUUAUUUGCCAACAAAAAUCUCUAUGUUCUUUCUUGAGGGAAAAAUAACAGAAUGGUUUUCUCUCCAAAUGAGUUAAUGCUGAGAUCUUCUAUGUAGCUAUGAAUGGGGCUUAUAUAAUAUUGUGGGCAAUCAUAGUGGGGUCCACCAAAAUGGAUGAAUGCCCAAAAACAAUCGAGUGCUACAUUGGAUCAAAACUAAAACUUUUUUUUUCAAGAGUAACAUAGAUAAUAUGGUUCUUAAUUGAAUUUUUUUUCACUCUUUCUUUUCCUUAGUUUUAUUUGCUAGCAAAGAUCUUUAUGUUCUUUUCUUGAGGGAAAAUAACAGAAUGGUUCUCUCCAAAUGAGGUAAUGCUGAGAUCUUCUAUGUAGCUAUGAAUGGGGCUUAUAUAAUAUUGUGGGCAAUCAUAGAGGGGUCCACCAAAAUGGAUGAAUGCCCAAAAACGAUCGAGUGCUACAUUGGAUCAAAACUAAAACUGUUUUUUCAAGAGUAACGUAGAUAAUAUGGUUCUUAAUUGAAUUUUUUUUCACUCUUUCUUUUCCUUAGUUUUAUUUGCUAGCAAAGAUCUUUAUGUUCUUUUCUUGAGGGAAAAUAACAGAAUGGUUCUCUCCAAAUGAGGUAAUGCUGAGAUCUUCUAUGUAGCUAUGAAUGGGCUUAUAUAAUAUUGUGGGCAAUCAUAGUGGGGUCCACCAAAAUGGAUGAAUGCCCAAAAACAAUCGAGUGCUACAUUGGAUCAAAACUAAAACUUUUUUUUUUCAAGAGUAACAUAGAUAAUAUGGUUCUUAAUUGAAUUUUUUUUCACUCUUUCUUUUCCUUAGUUUUAUUUGCUAGCAAAGAUCUUUAUGUUCUUUUCUUGAGGGAAAAUAACAGAAUGGUUCUCUCCAAAUGAGGUAAUGCUGAGAUCUUCUAUGUAGCUAUGAAUGGGGCUUAUAUAAUAUUGUGGGCAAUCAUAGAGGGGUCCACCAAAAUGGAUGAAUGCCCAAAAACGAUCGAGUGCUACAUUGGAUCAAAACUAAAACUGUUUUUUCAAGAGUAACGUAGAUAAUAUGGUUCUUAAUUGAAUUUUUUUUCACUCUUUCUUUUCCUUAGUUUUAUUUGCUAGCAAAGAUCUUUAUGUUCUUUUCUUGAGGGAAAAUAACAGAAUGGUUCUCUCCAAAUGAGGUAAUGCUGAGAUCUUCUAUGUAGCUAUGAAUGGGCUUAUAUAAUAUUGUGGGCAAUCAUAGUGGGGUCCACCAAAAUGGAUGAAUGCCCAAAAAUGAUCGAGUGCUACAUUGGAUCAAAACUAAAAAUGACUAAUUAAUAGGCUAAUAAUCCGAAAAAACUUAAGUGAUUCCCUUCUUUUCACUUUCUGCUGUGGCAACUCUUCAAGACUUGUACAAGGAACUGUAGUUACUGAACUACCCACUAUAGUUGGACAAGUGGAGAUCAUAUGCUUGGGUCCAUGUGCUGAAGGGAGUCCCAUGUUCUAAGUCUAUUAUUAUUUUCAUGCAAUGUAACAUAGGUCCUUUUUAACAUAAGUCCAAUAUCAUUUUCAGAAUGGUUUUCUCUCCAAAUGAGGUAAUGCUGAGGUCACCUAUGUAGCUAUGAAUGGGGCUUAUAUAAUAUUGUGGGCAAUCAUAGUGGAGUCUACCAAAAUGGAUGAAUGCCCAAAAGUGAUUGAGUGCUACAUUGGAUCAAAAAUAAAAACGACUAAUUAAUAGGAUAAUAAUCCGAAAAAACUUAAGUGAUUCCCUUUUUUUCACUUUCUGCCGUGGGAACUCUUCAAGACUUGUUUGUUCUUUGCCCCAAGGCGAGGGUUUUGUGGGAUCUUGUGUUUUCUUUGUUUGGUGUUAAUUGGGUUCUUCCGCUUACAAUUAGAGACACUCUCUUAGGUUGGUUCACUUCCUUUGUGGACAAGAAGCGUGAAAAGACUUGGCGGGCAGCUCCUCUUUGUUUAUUUUGGACGGUUUGGAAGGAAAGAAACAUGAUAGUUUUUGCUAAUGAGGUUUUGUCGAUUCAAAUAAUGAAAAAUUCUUUUGUUUAUAAUCUCUUCUCUUGAGCUAAGUCUUGUUUAGAAGUAGGACCCAUUUCUUUAGUUAACUUUGUUGAUUGGUUGGGUUCUUAUUGAGGGUUGGUGAGUUGCCUUUUUGUCUUUUGUUUUGUGGUGACUCUUGUAUACUCCUUAUAUGUUUUGCGUUGCCGUUUAAACACCAUUUUUCUAAUAUAUCUUCUGUGGGUUUAUCUAUCAAAACUCUUCAAGACUUGUACAAGGAACUAAAGUUACUGAACUCUACCCACUAUAGUUGCAGAAGUGGAGAUCAUAUGAUGGGGUCCAUGUGAUGAAUCAUGGAAGGGAGUCCGAUGUUCGAAGUCCAUUAUUAUUUUCAUGCAAUGUAACAUAGGUCAUUUUUAACUAUGUGCCCAAUUUAGAUGAUAUGUGGAAACCACAUGUUCUCUUAUCUCUGCAGUCAGCUUCCAGGACUAAACCUUGGUGGACAUAUUGUUGGAGGCCAGCUCCAUAAUUUUUUUUUUGAUAGGUAUUGAAGGCCAUCUCCAUAAUCUCCAUAAUUUGAAGCAACUGUAAGAGAUUAUGUUGAUUGAAAUUUAGGUUUAUGUAAAUUUAUGUGGGUUUUAUUCACUAAUUAUUUUUCAAUCUGUGUUUUCUAUUUGGAUGUUGGCUUCAAUAACAUUCAAGGUGAAAUUCCAUACGGGUUACUCCCUAAUGUGCCACUAAUAUAUGAGAUGCUUGAUUAUAAGUUUCUAUUAGAUUUCCUAAUGUUUUAUGUAGUUUAUUUGUGAUUUCUUUUCUAUGAAUGCAAAAAUUUGGCAUGCAACAAAUUUAGUCAAAAUAUUCCCCAUUCCCUCAUUUUAUUGAAAAAUCUUCGACAUAUGUUAAUUGUUUGUCCUAGUACCGCCCAUUUUAAUGGUUACUAUAGUUGGUUUACACUAAUGACUCAUAAAUGACAAUUAUAUAUUUACUGGCCUGCAGAAUCUAAAAAGAAGCAAUUAUUAAGUGUUACGUGGUCGUAGUGGGUUUUCUUGGAGAUUAUGACACAAUGAUAAGCCUUCUUUAUGUGGAUGUCUUGUGUAUUAAUAUUCUAUUGUGGAUGGAGUUGAAACUAAUUGGCAGUUGCUUGUAUAAUUUUAUUACUCAUUAAGAAAUCAUAAUGUUUAUACUUAUAAAAAAAAAAAAUCAUAAUGUUUACAUAUAAUUUAGCCUCUUCUAUUGGUCUGUUAUAUCAGCAAAAUUUAUAUGCUUUGGAAAUUGCACCAUAUUUGGAUCUGUUGUCCCAAGGAUCUAUCAUACAAUCACUUUACUGGGUCUGUGAUCUUCUUGUUGGUCUGUAGGCAUUGCAAUCUUUCUCAUCACUUGGUGUUAUAUGUUUCUUUUAUCAAAAGACUUAUUUCUUUCUUACCAGGAACAUCCAUGGUAACCAUUCUAGUGGCAUCAUCCCAAUACAAUUUCAGUCAACACCAAAUUUAUGGUUGGUGAUCAUAGCCUGAGUAAUGUUGUUGCUUUUAAUCUGCAUACACUACCAUAUCAGAUUAUGCUUUGAUAAUUUUUUGUCUUUAUCUCUUAUUAGGUUUUGGGAGAAUAGGUUCCAUCCAAGAGGCAACUUAUUCACCUUAGGAUUUCCCUUUGGAAACUAAGUAAAAUAUUAAUAGCCCACCAACAAUUGAAUCAAGUGUUUUUAAGAACUAACUUUUUAGGAAAGUUCAUGAGCACCAGAAAAAAAAAAAAUCGGGUCCUGGAGGAAAGCCCUCAUAGUUGAUGGAAGCAUUCUGAUGGUAAGUUGCAUGGUGCUCCUACUUGUUGUCCACAUUUAAUUGAGCUUGUGCACAAAAUCACAAAAGCUUGGAGAGCAAGUGAAAGUCCAUGGUAUUAUCUUCCAAUUACUACAAUCAAAGGUAAAAUUUUAUUAGCCUAUGUAUAUGCUUAUUGAUGAUCUAUAGUACUGUUAUAUAUCAGCUAUGGAUUGUUACCUUCCUGAUUUACCUUCCUUCCUGGUUAUUCAAUGGUCUUUGACUACAGUAGACGAAAGUCCACAAUUCCUUGCUCUCAGUCCUCCACUGAUGUGUCAAGGCAGAUUCCCACUACUUGCCAUGUCAGAUUUGAGGAAAUUUCUUCCAAGAGAAGUUUCUUCCAGAAUCCCAGCAAAUGCAAAACACACUAUAGCAAAGGUUCAAUCAGCUAGAAACAACAAUUCUUUGGGGUUUCCCUCAAAAGUAUCAGGCUAUUAUGUAGACAUGGACCAUGUUGUCCUUAGUUUACAACUUCGAUUGUUGUUGCAAGCAUGAUUGCAAACACUAGUACCUAACCAUGCCAGCUUCAUCCAUGUGACUUCAGUUCUUUGGGGUUCCUUAUUAUAUAUAGUCUAUUUUGAUCUUCAGAUUUUGAGUGACGAAUUAUGAAUCUCAAAAAAGCUUCAUUUAGCCAAAUCCAUACAAUGACAUGAUGGUUCUAGAAUUAUAUGUUUUAGAGUUGAAAACUGUGGUUAGAUACUUUUUUUUGUUUUUUUUUUUCAGAAAGACAAAUUGGUUAUAUUGAUUUAAUCAAAGCAAUAAGAAAAACUAAAGAACACAUUGAUAUGGAAAAAAUUGGAGCAAACAUAGGUUCCUUGGUUAUGAUUUGGGUGAUGUUCUACAAAUAACUUCUUAUGAGUUAAAUUUCACCAAGAAAUCAGUGUGUCAUUUUGUAUCUAAACAGGAGAUGAGUAGUACAGCAAUAGUUACUAGUAAUCAUUAUAUGUUUGAUCAUCAUUAUAUCUCCUAAUGAAAUAUUGCAUGUUGAUUCUGAUCUUAUCUAAUAUUUUACCUGUAUAAUUGCUGGUCAACCAGAUUGUUAUGGUGACUGAAUCCAUUCGAGCUGCACUAGACUCUAAAGUUGCAAAGUUGCAGGAUUGUGUAUGAUAGUCAACCAAUGGAGUGGUGAAUCAGAGGGAUAACUUCAUAAAUGAUCUUUCUGUUAGCUUGGCAAGUGGACAGGUUCUAUCAGCUGAACUCCUUAAGCUCUGUUAUGUGUUCUGCCUUUUUUGUUGCUACUAGAAAGAAACUAUUGUAUAUCACAUCAUAUAGACCAAAAUGGUGCAUCUUGUUGAAGCAAGUGGUUUGCCAAGUAGUAUAAUCAGGUAUAAAUGGAAUCUUUUCUUAUCUCUAAUGCUUGUGUUACCGAUCAUGUGGGAUUUUAUUUGUGAUUUCAUUUUCUAUGAAUGCAGAAAUUUGGCAUGCAACAUAGUCAAAAUGUUCCCCACUCCCUCACCUUAAGGAAAAAUCUUCGACAAUUGUUAAUUGUUUUUCCCGAUACUGCCUAUUUUAUUGGUUACUACGGUUGGUUUAUAUCAUAAUGACUCAUAAAUAACAAUUAUAUUCUUAUAGGAAUCUGAACCACAAUUCAUUAUCUGGACCCAUUGGCAAUGUGUUUACUGGCCAACAUAAUCUAAAAGGAAUGUAUAUUUAUUGGCCUGUAAAAUCUAAAAGGAAGCAAGACAGUUAUAUUAUUAGGUGUUACCUAGUGGUAAUAGUUUUUCUUGAAGAUUAUGGCACAAUGAUAAGCCUUCUUUAUAUGGAUGCCUUAUGUGUUAAUAUUCUGUUGUGGAUGGAGUCAAAACUAAUUGAUAGUUGCUUAUAUAGUUUUAUCAUAAAUCAUAAUGUUUACAUAUUAUUUAACUUCUUCUAUUGGUCUGUUCUAUAAGCAAAAUUUCUAUGCCUUGGAAAUCAUACCAUAUUUGGAUCUAUUGUCCCAAUGAUUUAUCAUACAAUCACUUUUCUAGAUAUGUGGUCUUCUUGGCCCUCUCUGUAGGUCCCUUCAUAGCAAUCUUUCUAUCAACUGGUGUUAUAUAUUUCUCUUAUCAAAAGACUUGUUUCUUUUUUACCAGGAACAUCCAUGGUAAACAUUUUAUUAGCAUCAUACCAAGACAAUUUUAGUCAAUAGCAAAUUUAUGGAUUUGGGGAAAUAGGUUCCAUCCUAGAGACAACUUAUUCACCCUGGGAUUUUCCUUUGGAAAUUGAGCUACCAAUAGUUGAAUCAAGUGUUGUUCAGAACUACCUCUUUAGGAAAGUACAUGAACACAAGAAGAAAAAACCAGGUUAUGGAGCAAUAGCUCUUUUGGUUGUUGGGGAGGAAUUUUGUUGGUAAGCUGUGCAGUGCUCCUACUUGUUGUUCGCAUUAAUUAAGCUCAUGCACACAAUCACAAAAGCCUGGAGGGCUAUGAAAGUCCACAGUAUUAUCGUCCAACUACUACAAUUGAAGGUGAAAUUUAGUUAGCUUAUGUAUAUACUUAUGAUGAUCUAUAGUACUAUUAUAUUAGCUAUGAAUUAUUAUGAUGAUUUAUACUUAUUCUUGCUCUCAAAUUAUUCUUCACUUGUAUUUUUCUUUUUUCAUUUUCAAAAUUUACCAUAAAAAUGAGUGCAUUAAUCCUCUCCCUUGUUUUCUAUAGCUACUCAACAAUCUCAAGCAACAUAGUAGGCAUAAAGUCCCUAAACAGACAAGUUUAUCCAUUUAUAUUCAAGUUUAUUCUUAUUGUACUCUCUCAUCUCUUCCUCCUCAUCGUCGUCAUCGUCGUCAUCAUCGUCAUCAUCAUCAUCAUCAUCAUUUUCAUCAUCCUGAGGACUCCUCCUCAUCGUCAUCAUCAUUGUCGUCAUCAUCAUCGUCAUCAUCAUCAUCAUCAUCUUCAUCAUCGUCUUCAUCAUCCUCAUCCUCACUAUCAUUUCAUAACUUAAGGUUUAAGGAGCAUGCUCUGGUUCUUUUAACCUCAUCAUCUUCAUCGUCGUCAUCAUCGUCAUCAUCAUCAUCGUCAUCAUCAUCAUCAUCAUCAUCAUCAUCAUCA